rnacentral:rRNA from 1 species
AGUGAACGCUGGCGGUAGGCCUAACACAUGCCAGUCGAACGGCAGCACAGUAAGAGCUUGCUCUUACGGGUGGCGAGUGGCGGACGGGUGAGGAAUACAUCGGAAUCUACUUUUUCGUGGGGGAUAACGUAGGGAAACUUACGCUAAUACCGCAUACGACCUACGGGUGAAAGCAGGGGAUCUUCGGACCUUGCGCGAUUGAAUUAGCCGAUGUCGGAUUAGCUAGUUGGCGGGGUAAAGGCCCACCAAGGCGACGAUCCGUAGCUGGUCUGAGAGGAUGAUCAGCCACACUGGAACUGAGACACGGUCCAGACUCCUACGGGAGGCAGCAGCGGGGAAUAUUGGACAAUGGGCGCAAGCCUGAUCCAGCCAUACCGCGUGGGUGAAGAAGGCCUUCGGGUUGUAAAGCCCUUUUGUUGGGAAAGAAAAGCAGCAGGUUAAUACCCCGCUGUUCUGACGGUACCCAAAGAAUAAGCACCGGCUAACUUCGUG